UACGUAGGGGGCAAGCGUUGUCCGGAAUCAUUGGGCGUAAAGAGCGUGUAGGCGGCCAGAUAAGUCCGCUGUGAAAACUCGAGGCUCAACUUCGAGCUGUCGGCGGAAACUAUCUGGCUAGAGUCCGGAAGAGGAGAAUGGAAUUCCCGGUGUAGCGGUGAAAUGCGCAGAUAUCGGGAGGAACACCAAUGGCGAAGGCAGCUCGCUGGGACGGUACUGACGCUGAGACGCGAAAGCGUGGGGAGCAAACAGG
rnacentral:rRNA from 1 species